GCACUCACUGAAACAGCCAAUAUGGAAAUACUAUGGAGACAUGUUGAUGAACAGUAUAUUUGACCCUGAAUCAGAGGAAGCAUCUGAAAUAGAGGAGCAACCAGUCGCCCAUAGAUUGGAAAUGACUACUUCAGAGUAGUUAUGAAAAGAAGGUUCCUGAGGAGCUGACCUGAAUGACCAUCAUGGCCUCGAUCUGUUGCGCCUCUAUAUUUAUUCUUUGCAAAAUGCAAUGAAUAUUUACAGAGCUGACCAUGGCCGUUUGAGAAUCAGAGGGAUGGAAAGGCAAUGAAGUGACUUGGCCUACAGGUCUUUUGUGAGCAGAUGCUUGGGUUUCCUUAGAAGAAGCGUCCGUGUCAUGAUCCCCUCGUGUGUGGUGCUACGCAUAUGGAGGGAGCAUCCGGAUACUUCAGGGCAGUACGUUGGAUUCAGACCCCUUGUCGACUGAACCGUGACACAUGUUCAGCAACAGCAUC